rnacentral:lncRNA from 1 species
UGGUGACGUCGGUGACGUCGGUGGUGGCCUCGCUGUACCUGGCGCUGGUGUUGGCCUUCGGCCUCCGCGACCUCUGCCUCGUCUGCCUCAGCACCUACGCGGUCAACGCCGCGCUCCUCUUCCUCAACUACCGCCGCUGGCGGCGCUGCCAACGGCCCCCGGCCCUGAAACGGGAGUGACAAGAUGGCGGUGACAACAUGGCGGUGACAAGAUGGCGGUGACAAGAUGGCGGUGUCUGUAUGGUGACAACGUGGCGGUGACAACAUGGCGGUGUCUGUAUGGUGACAAGGUGACAGUGACAACGUGGCGGUGUCUGUAUGGUGACAACGUGGCGGUGACAAGAUGGUGA